CACAGGGGUAACUUAAUAUACUGUUUUAUUUUUUUUAUUUUUGUGUGUUUCAAUCAUAAUAAAUAUAUAUUACAAUAUUAUAAUAUGUAUACUUAUUACCAUAAACAUUUUUUUGUUUUUACGCAAGCUUAUAGUCCUAUAACGACUUACUGAACUAUAUUUUUGGACCUCAAUGAAUAUUUUUGUUUAUGUUUUGUUUUUUUUUGUAUUUUUAUUUUUAACAUUUAGAUAUAUUAUAAAAAACGUAUUCUAAAAUAGAAAUAUUAGUAAGUUGUUAUAACAGGAACUAAUAUUCAUCUCCACGUUAUAAAAUAUAUCUUACAAUAUUUAAAGGUGCAUGAAAAACAUCAUAAUAUAUUAUUUUAAUGAUACAUUGAUCAAGUUUUUUUAUACAUAGGUAUACAAUAGGUGUAAUUUAUC